CCAGCAUUUAGUUGGGCACUCUAGCGAGACUGCCGGUGACACACCGGAGGAAGGUGGGGAUGACGUCAAAUCAUCAUGCCCCUUAUGACCGGGGCUACACACGUGCUACAAUGGGAAGUACAACGAGUCGCUAGCCCGCGAGGUCAUGCAAAUCUCUUAAAGCUUCUCUCAGUUCGGAUUGCAGGCUGCAACUCGCCUGCAAGAAGCCGGAAUCGCUAGUAAUCGCGGAUCAGCACGCCGCG
rnacentral:rRNA from 1 species